rnacentral:rRNA from 1 species
AGGCGGCAGCCUAACAAUGAUGGUCCUACGGCACUGAAGCCUUCGACGAUGCUGAGGAGUGGCGGACGGGUGAGUAAUGCAGAUGAACCUAUCCUUUUGUGGAGGGACAACCCAGGGAAACUUGGGAGUAAUAAGGCAUAAGCCCUGAGGGGGAAAGCGGGGGAUCUUCGAGCCUCGUGCUGAAGGAGGGGCCUACGUCCGAUUAGCUAGUUGGUGGGGUAAAGGCCUACCGAGGCGACGAUCGGUAGCUGGUCUGAGAGGACGACCAGCCACACUGGGACUGAGACACGGCCCAGACUCCUACGGGAGGCAGCAGUGGGGAAUUUUUCGCAAAGGGGGCAAGAGUGACGAAGCAAUGCCGCGUGGAUGAAGAAGGCCUUCGGGUUGUAAAGUCCUUUCGUGGGGGACGAAAAGGCGGAUCCGAAUACGGUCUGCUAUUGACGUGAACCCAAGAAGAAGCACCGGCUAACUCCGUGCCAGCAGCCGCGGUAAU